GGAGGGAUCAUUAACAAAUCAAACACAAACACUGUGUAACUGUCUGUUCCUGGGUUGUGUUGCUGCAGUCGCUUUUGUGCUUAUGUGGGGAGUGUGAGCCUUUUGAAGCGUGUUGCAUCAUGCCCAGGACCAACCUACAAACUAUUGUCAGAUGUAUUACAAACGUAAUCAAAAACAACUUUUAACAAUGGAUCUCUUGGCUCUUGCAACGAUGAAGAACGCAGCAAAAUGCGAUAUGUCGUGUGACCUGCAUACUUCGUGAAUCAUCAAAUCUUUGAACGCAACUUGCACCUUGUGACUUGUCACUAGGUAUACUUGUUUGAGUAUCACAAUCAUCUGUCUCACCUCAUUUGGGGAGUUGAGGACGCGUGCAUACGUACCAUACCGUGGGGAGGGGUAUGGGGGUAGGUGCGCUGAGGCGAGUUGAGAGUGUGAUCUCGGCAGUGUGGGUCCAUGGGGACGGACGGCCACUGUUGGUCACUCUCUUGAAAUCCAGGUUGUCAGCAUUGACAGCGCGCCUGAUGGGAUAACAUCCUAACAUGGGGCAGCGACAGUGCAACGACAGCAGGAUCGAGAAGGCGUCUGUAUAGUAGUAUACAGAUGUUCAACUCACCGUGACGACACAUUCUCUUGUGUGUAAGCGCGUAAGCGCAUGCAUAGAGAGAGAGGGUCUCACAACAAACAAUGAUCUCAAAUCAAGUAAGGGUACCCGCUGAACUUAAGCAUAUCAGUAAGCGGAGGAAAAGAAACUAACAAGGAUUCCCGUAGUAACGGCGAGUGAACUGGGAAAAGCUCAAAUUUAAAAUCUGGCACCUUUGGUGUCCGAAUUGUAUUUGAUAGAGCUGUCUUGUGGCGAUCGUGCACUGGUUCAAGUCCCUUGGAAAAGGGCGUCAGAGAGGGUGACAACCCCGUGGGGACCAGUGUCGGACGUCAGCAUCAAGGCGGUUCGACGAGUCGGAUUGUUUGGGAAUGCAGUCCAAAAUGGGUGGUACAUUUCAUCUAAAGCUAAAUAAUGGCAAGAGACCGAUAGCGAACAAGUACCGUGAGGGAAAGAUGAAAAGAACUUUGAAAAGAGAGUUAAACAGUACGUGAAAUUGUUAAAAGGGAAACGAUUGAGACCAGUGGGACAGGCAUCACUUCAGCGAUCCGCAUGGAUCGUGUAGUGUGGUGUCUGUGGGUGGACCCCCAUUCGGUGUCCUGGACAAGACCUUGGGUAAGGUGGCCUUCCUUCGGGUUGCGCUUUAUAGACCCUUGGGAUACAGGAGCGCCGGAUGGGUAGUGAGCCUCGUGCUCGGGACCACGAAAUGGUCUUAAACGACCCGUCUUGAAACACGGACCAAGGAGUCUAACAACUAUGCGAGUAUUCGAGUGACAAACUUGGAUGCGCAAAGAAAUUGAAUGUGCGUGGGAGUCAGUGUGCUUCGGCACGCAGAUGCACCAUGGGCCGGUCCUUGACUUGUCUUGGAUCGAGCUAGAGCAUAAGUGUUGGGACCCGAAAGAUGGUGAACUAUGCCUGAAUAGGGUGAAGCCAGAGGAAACUCUGGUGGAGGCUCGUAGCGAUUCUGACGUGCAAAUCGAUCGUCAAAUUUGGGUAUAGGGGCGAAAGACUAAUCGAACCAUCUAGUAGCUGGUUCCCUC
rnacentral:misc_RNA from 1 species